AUGGCGAAAACCAAACGAAGAAAGGGAAUGCCAAGUGUAUACAAGAAGGCGGCAAUCAAAAGAGAAACAAAUGCAGGGGGGGUAGUAACUUCUUUGGAGCCUCACCAUGAAGCCUAUGAACCAGAAAGAACACCAUCCAGAGUGGAGCAGCCUGAUGCGAAUGACUCAACACCAGACCCACCAUUACCAUCUCAGGCUCCACAGGUAACUCCGUCGUGUGAUGAUAAUGCUCUUACAUUGGAUGAUCUAGAUAUACCCAUUGCCCACCGAAAACAACCUCGAUUAACUGCUGGGAAAUUGCCAUCAAGAAUGUCACCCUACAAUGUCUCCAAUUAUGUUUCAUAUUCCUCUGUGGGCCCUCAAUACAAUUCAUUUAUAGCUGCUCUAGAUUCGAUGGCACCACUACCACAUGACUGGCAGGAGGCAGUAAGGGACCCAAGGUGGAGAGCAGCAAUGGUUGAAGAAAUGACUGCACUCGAUAAGAAUAAUACUUGGGAACUCUCUAUACUUCCUGCAGGUAAGAAAGUUGUGGGUUGUAAGUGGGUGUUCACCAUAAAGCAAACACCUGAGGGCAAAAUAGAGAGAUAUAAAGCCAGACUAGUGGCAAAAGGGUAUAGUCAAACAUACGGAGUGGAUUACGAUGAGACUUUUGCCCCAGUGGCUAAGAUGAAUACUAUUAGAACCUUGAUCUCAGUAGCAGCGAAUUAUAAGUGGAAUCUUUUUCAGAUGGAUGUUAAGAAUGCUUUUCUACAUGGUGACUUGCAAGAGGAAGUAUAUAUGGAAAUCCCACAGGGGUUUAAUAGUAAGGAGACGGAGGGUAAGGUGUGCAGACUAAAAAAAUCAUUAUAUGGACUCAAGCAAUCACCAAGGGCCUGGUUUGGGAAGUUUUGCAAGGAGAUCCGCGCAAUUGGCUAUCAGCAAAGCAAUGCUGAUCAUACACUGUUUUUCAGGAGUAAUCAUGGCAAACUUACAAUUCUUAUGGUUUAUGUUGAUGACAUUGUUAUUACAGGUAAUGAUGAUGAGGGGAUAAGAAGGUUGAAAAAAAUGCUAGCAAAAGCAUUUGAAGGAAAAGAUCUUGGGCAUCUAAAUUAUUUUCUAGGAAUUGAAGUUGCAUAUUCAUCACAAGGUAUAUAUCUCUCACAGCGGAAAUAUGUUCUUGAUUUACUUGUUGAGACUGGAAUGCUAGACUGUAAACCUGCCUCUACACCAAUUGAGGCAAACCAUCGAAUUAAGGCAGAUAUGGGUGAUCCUGUUGAUAAAGGUCAGUAUCAACGGCUGGUAGGGAGACUAAUCUAUUUGUCCCAUACUAGGCCAGAUAUUGCAUAUGCCGUGAGUAUUGUGAGCAGAUAUAUGCAUGACCCAAGGUCUACACAUUUAAAUGCUGCAUAUAGAAUCUUGAGAUACCUAAAGGGAUGCCCUGGGAAAGGAAUUCUAUUCUCAAAUUCUGGACAUCUCAGUAUAGAGUGUUACACAGAUGCUGACUGGGCUGGGUGUCUAGAUGAUAGAAGGUCCACUUCUGGCUACUGCAUCUUUGUUGGAGGAAAUUUGGUUAGCUGGAGGAGCAAAAAACAAAGUGUAGUGGCCAGGUCUACUGCUGAAGCAGAGUUACGGUCCAUGGUCUCUGGAAUAUGUGAAUUAAUAUGGCUACGCUUACUACUUACUGAACUACAAUUGUACAAAGGGGGCCCUCUUCGGAUCUACUGUGAUAAUCAAGCCACAAUAAAUAUAGUAAAUAAUCCAAUCCAGCAUGAUAGGACGAAACAUAUUGAAAUAGAUAGGCAUUUCAUCAAAGAGAAGCUAGAUGAGGGAACUCUUCAAGUUAGCUUUGUCAACUCAGGUGAUCAGCUUGCUGAUGUAUUAACCAAAGGUAUUAGUGUUGUAAAUUAUAUGAAAUUAUGUAACAAGAUGGGGCUCAUAGACAUAUUUGCCCCAUCUUGA
rnacentral:rRNA from 1 species